UACGUAGGGGGCGAGCGUUGUCCGGAUUCAUUGGGCGUAAAGCGCUUUAAGGCGGUUCGCUAAGUCGCGUGUGAAACCUCCAGGCUCAACCUAGAGACGCCACGCGAUACUGGCGUGACUAGAGUUCGGUAGGGGAUCACGGAAUUCCUGGUGUAGCGGUGAAAUGCGCAGAUAUCAGGAGGAACACCGGUGGCGAAGGCGGUGAUCUGGGCCGACACUGACGCUGUAGAGCGAAAGCGUGGGGAGCGAACAGG
rnacentral:rRNA from 1 species